rnacentral:rRNA from 1 species
GACGAACGCUGGCGGCGUGCUUAACACAUGCAAGUCGAACGGAAAGGCCCUGCUUUUGUGGGGUGCUCGAGUUGCGAACGGGUGAGUAACACGUGAGUAACCUGCCCUUGACUUUGGGAUAACUUCAGGAAACUGGGGCUAAUACCGGAUAGGAGCUCCCGCUGCAUGGUGGGGGUUGGAAAGUUUCGGCGGUUGGGGAUGGACUCGCGGCUUAUCAGCUUGUUGGUGGGGUAGUGGCUUACCAAGGCUUUGACGGGUAGCCGGCCUGAGAGGGUGGCCGGCCACAUUGGGAAUGAGGUACGGCCGAGACUCCUACGGGAGGCAGGAAGGGGGAAUAUUUAACAAUGGGCGGACGCAUGAUGCAGCAACGCCGCGUGCGGGAGGACGGCCUUCGGGUGGUAAACAGCUUUCGCCUGUGACGAAGCGUGAGUGACGGUAAUGGGGAAAGAAGCACCGGCUAACUACGU